rnacentral:rRNA from 1 species
UACGGGGGGGGCAAGCGUUGUUCGGAAUUACUGGGCGUAAAGGGUUUGUAGGUGGCCAUCUAAGUCAGACGUGAAAUCCCUCAGCUUAACUGGGGAACUGCGUCUGAUACUGGUUGGCUUGAGUGCAGGAGAGGAACGCGGAAUUCCAGGUGUAGCGGUGAAAUGCGUAGAUAUCUGGAGGAACACCGGUGGCGAAGGCGGCUCACUGGCCCGGUACUGACGCUGAGAUACGAAAGCGUGGGGAGCAAACAGG